GCCAGAAACUAUACUUUAUUUAAAAUUAAGCACAAUAUCAUAAAACUUCACUUUAAAACCUAAUAUUUGUAAUGUCAGCAUGAUUCUGUGGGUGGCACCAGGCAGCAGUGCCCAGCACUUGAAAAUUUUCAAAUAUGCCAUGCAAAAACACAAAUAUUAUAUUUGGUUAUUUUCUGUAAUUUUGUACUGUCUUUUUAUCUUUCAAUUGAUGAAUUCUGUUAUUUAAGUGGCAAUGUGCCCAGACUGAGAUGCACCUACAGUACUUUGUUAUUUUACUCUGUCUAAUGCCAGAC